CCCCGGGCCCCACCCACCGUCACGCCCCGCCCCGGACCGGCCCCGCCCCGGACCGGCCCCGCCCCGGCCGCAUCCCGCCUCCGGCCUCUGGCGAGGGUCUGCCGUUCGCCCCCAGCCCAGCUUCUCCAGACUUUAGUGCAGACCCUAACCGGGAGCCGUGACCCCAGACUCUGGCCGCGCAGGUGCCCCUCGGUAGCCGCGGGAGGGAGAACCUGCCACCCUCGCCCCUCCCCGGUUCACCCCGGUCCUGCCUCUCCGCUAACGCCUCCUGGAAGAGGGUCCUAAGAGCCUCGCGGCCCGCCACCAGCCUGGUCCCUCUGCAGACAGCCUCCUCCCAUCCCACUCUCCCUCCAUCCCCCGGCCUGACGGGUGAGAUGGGUUCCGCCACCAGGGAGUGUGUUGCCAUUUCCUACUCCAGGGAAUCUUCCCAAUCCAGGGAUCAAACCUGCAUCUCCUGUAUUGGCAUGCAGAUUCUUUACCACUGAGCCACCCUUACACACGACUUUAAGAAGAAGAAAAAAAAAAACAGACCCUAAAGCUUACAGAAUUCUAUGUGGAUAAAUCAGUAGAAGUG
ensembl:lncRNA